UUCUGCACCUGUUUCGGUUAAAUAUUUGAGUGUUUGCCUUGCAAAGCGUCAUUGUGGUUCACUGCCAGCUUGGGUAUAAAGCUCCAUUCCCAGUAACGCAGGAAGUGUAGUUCCGAGUCAGUUGAAGUAAUACAGAGGAAAAGAGCAGUUAUAUUCGACUCCGUACCGGUAUCCAGCAUUUGACGGAAGACAUGAGUUUUUCAAGCAAACUUUCGAUGGUUGUUAUGCUUCUAGCAGUUUCAUAUGUACUGAUUGCAUCGGGACAUCUGACCAACUGUACUCCAUACAACAGCACCGCCGUACUGUGCCAGGUGAUGAAUGGAACGGAUUUCGGUGCUAGAGGAGGUCAUCACGGAGGACGCGGUCGCAGGAUGAUUGCCCAAUUGCUCAAUGCAGCAGGAAGUGAACAGGAACCGAUCAAUUGAUGUCACUGUGGAAAGAUUCGUGAUUAAUAUCAACGGUCUUUAACCCUUUUCGAAAUGCGGGGAUGUGAAAUGUGGUUCAGAGUCAGAAAUGUACUUUUGAUGUGGUCAGUGCCGUAGCGUGCGGUUGGCCAGGUUGGCACCCGCCAAGGGCGCCAGGCUUCAGGGGGCGCCAAAAUGGGAAUUUUAAGAAGAUUACUAUUCAGCAACGGGAUUUUUUGGUGAUAAAUAUUUAGUUAGGGCAUUUUUGAUGUCAUAGAAUGUAGAAAAACAAUUAUAGACAAUAUAUAUAA